GUGAUUACAGAUCAUUGAUAAGUGCUGCAAAGGAAAACAAGAGGACUCUAUGAAGGAGAAUUACCAGUCCAAUGUGAGUCAGGCAUCUCUCCUGGUGGCUGUCUUCCAUGUGGUGACUUAUGUAUCCAGGAUCCUUCUACUGUGUUUCUCCUCCAUUGCGAAGUCCUUCACUUCCAGCACCUGAGACAUUUUUUGGGUAUAUCUACAAGUGGCAUAUAUCACUUCUGCCCACAUUCACCUGGGUAGAACUCAAUCACAUUGUUUCACCUAACUGCAAGUGAGGCUGUGGAAUAUAGUCUCCCUAUGUGCCCAAGCAGAAGAAACAGGAUUGGUGAGCAUCUAGCCCAUCUCUACCACUAACAGUUUAUCCCCCCUAAUAAAUCAAUACACUGAUGAUCUAGUUUUGUCUUUGUUCUCUUGCGAAUGUUAUAGUGUGACUCUACAAUGUGUGAUUGCUCCUGGUGAAUCAAAAGGAUAAAGCUGCUGAUUCUGCAAUUUGAUAACCCAACCAUGCUGACCUCAAAGUGUAGUCAAUCCAUGAAGUUCCUCCCACCACAGCUCAUCCUGA
rnacentral:lncRNA from 10 species